CGCCCUUCUCUCGCGCUUGAGGCAAAGCUCUCCGAUCAACUUGCAGAAGAGAUCAACCAAAAAUAUUCGCAUCUUGUCUGGACGAUGAAGGAUGACAUCCGGGAGGACUUCUCGGGCCUUCCGGUUGAGCGGAUCACGCACUUUCUUGAAAAAAUCACGAUCCCGAUCGUGCCGGUGAGCCUUUGCGCGAACUCAUUCAACGGCUACGACCCGAACCUGGCCGAGCGCCUCAGCCCCAAUCAAAAGCGAAAUUUCUCCCUUCUCUCUGAGAAGUCCAAGCUAAUUGGUGUUCGCGGAAAUUAUUCCGCCGAGAUCCUGAAUAGCCUUGGCAUAAAGAACGUCAGAGUGAUUGGCUGCCCGAGCUAUUUCGAGAACGGACCCACCCGGGCUCUGCAAAAAAAGCCGUGGGAUGCGGACAAGGUCAUCACUACGGCCACAUUCUUCAAUUCCGGGCUGCCGAGGACAUCCCAUCUGCUGCAGGAUGAAUUGUAUUUCAUCAACUUGCUCUAUCUUGAAAAAGCGCUGCCAUCGACCCGCAACAUCACAGCGCAACCCUUCAAUCUCGACGAAAUACCCACGUCCUUCCAACUAUUGGCCAAGGCCAUGGCUGGACGGCUGGAAUUUUUCUCUGAUUACAGCCGAUGGGCCACGUUCUUCAAAAGCAACGACCAUUGCCUCGCGACUUCGCAACCCAUA
rnacentral:misc_RNA from 1 species